rnacentral:rRNA from 1 species
GAUGAACGCUGGCGGCGUGCCUAAUACAUGCAAGUCGAACGCUGGAACUCUAGCUUGCUAGAUUGAAGGAGUGGCGAACGGGUGAGUAAUACAUAAGCAACCUACCCACGAAGACUGGGAUAAUCUCUGGAAACGGGGACUAAUACCGGAUAGGUAAUCGGAAGGCAUCUUCUGAUUAUUAAAGGUUAAAAACACUGGUGGAUGGGCUUAUGGCGCAUUAGUUAGUUGGUGAGGUAACGGCCCACCAAGACGAUGAUGCGUAGCCGGCCUGAGAGGGUGAACGGCCACAUUGGGACUGAGACACGGCCCAGACUCCUACGGGAGGCAGCAGUAGGGAAUUUUCGGCAAUGGGGGAAACCCUGACCGAGCAACGCCGCGUGAGUGAUGACGGCCUUCGGGUUGUAAAGCUCUGUUGUAAGGGAAGAACGGUAGAUAGAGAAUAUCUAAAUGACGGUACCUGACCAGAAAGCCACGGCUAACUACGUG